GACGAACGCUGGCGGCGUGCUUAACACAUGCCAGUCGAACGGAAAGGCCCUGCUUUUGUGGGGUGCUCGAGUGGCGAACGGGUGUGUAACACGUGAGUAACCUGCCCUUGAGUGUGGGAUAUCUUCAGGAAACUGGUGCUACUACCGGAUAGGAGCUCCUGCUGCAUGGUGGGGGUUGGAAAGUUUCGGCGGUUGGGGAUGGAUUCGCGGGUAAUCAGCUUGUUGGUGGGGUAGUGGCUUACCAAGGCAUUGGCGGGUCGCCGGCCUGAGAGGUGGAACGGGCACAUGGGGACUGAGGUACGGCCCAGAGUCCUACGGGAGGCAGCGGUCGGAAAUAUUGCACAACGGGGGGAAGCGUGUUAAGGAAACGCCGCGUGCGGAAUGAAGGCCUUCGGGUUGUAAACCGCUUUCGCCUGUGACGAAGCGUGAGUGACGGUAAUGGGUAAAGAAGCACCGGCUAACUACGUG
rnacentral:rRNA from 1 species